rnacentral:lncRNA from 10 species
CGGGAAGGAGGGGUGUGGCCUAGACCACUAAGGGCCGUGACGUGGUGCCGCUGAGCUUGGACCCCGACCAGAAGAUAGAGAUUGAAACGAUGAGGAAAACGAAGUGCCUAAUCCCCGCUGGACGCUAACUGCAGGGAACAUGGAGGAGACAUAUUUCCACCUAUUUCUCUCCAUAAGUAUAAAAGACCAUAAAAGACCAUCUAGGGACUUCAGAACCCAAAUAAUGACACAAUGUUAAUUUGCAGGUUCUCCCUCUGCCUGCCACCCCACCCAGCAAGGAGGAGAGGAAGUGUUGAGAAGGGAAGAGAUGAGUCCUGGCCCUGUCACUUCUUAGGGGUGUGCUUUUGAACAACCUGCUCACCAUGUAUGAACUUCACUCUUCUUGUUUAUAAAAUGAGGACAAUGACACCUGCAAGACUGUGAGGUUUAAAAACAAAAUCUGUGUUGAGAGGCUUGUUGGUGCUGGAGUGAAGCAUUCCUG